rnacentral:rRNA from 1 species
CUAUACAUGACUCUGCGCAUAUCAAUAAGCGGAGGAAAAGAAACUAACAAGGAUUCCCCUAGUAACGGCGAGUGAAGCGGGAAGAGCUCAAAUUUGAAAUCUUCAAGGUUCUACCUUGACGAAUUGUAGUUUAUAGAAGUGUUUUCUGUUAGUAGAGUGGCAAAAGUUCUUUGGAAUAGGACAUCAUAGGGGGUGAGAAUCCCGUAUUUGACCAUUAUUUCCAGCUGUGUGAUACACUUUCAAAGAGUCGGAUUGUUUGGGAAUGCAGUCCAAAAUGGGUGGUAAAUUUCAUCUAAAGCUAAAUAUUGGCGAGAGACCGAUAGCGAACAAGUACCGUGAGGGAAAGAUGAAAAGAACUUUGAAAAGAGAGUUAAACAGUACGUGAAAUUGUCAAAAGGGAAGCGUUUGACACCAGUGUUGUUUUCUCGAAAAUCAAUUAAAAAUGGUGGGAUUUUGUGUUGUAUUGACUUUAUCAGCUUUCUGCACUUUUUUCCUGUCUUUUUUAAUGCACUUUUCGUUUAACAAGUCAACAUCAAUUUCUUUUGCUGUAAAAGAGUCAUUGGAAGGUGGCUUUCUUUUCGGAGAAAGUGUUUAUAGCCUUUGACUUCUGCAGUCGGAGAGAUUGAGGUCUGCAGCGUAGAUCCUUCGGGGUUAGAUACAUUUGUGCUAAGUUAUAGCUUUUCAUAGACAACUUGUUGACUAUGUUUAGUCUUGUAGCUUACUCGCUUAUGCUAUUUUACCUACGCUUAGGAUGUUGACGAGACUGUCGAUCUCAUCUAUACAUGACUCUGCGCAUAUCAAUAAGCGGAGGAAAAGCGCAUUAAACAUCCAGAUACCUACGCUUAGGAUGUUGACGAGACUGUCGAUCUCAUCUAUACAUGACUCUGCGCAUAUCAAUAAGCGGAGGAAAAGCUAAUACCUACGCUUAGGAUGUUGACGAGACUGUCGAUCUC